UUAUACCGUGAAACUGCGAAUGGCUCAUUAAAUCAGUUAUCGUUUAUUUGAUAGUACCUUACUACUUGGAUAACCGUGGUAAUUCUAGAGCUAAUACAUGCUAAAAACCCCGACUUCUGAAGGGGUGUAUUUAUUAGAUAAAAAACCAACGCCCUUCGGGGCUUCUUGGUGAUUCAUGAUAACUUUACGGAUCGCAUGGCCUUGCGCCGGCGACGGUUCAUUCAAAUUUCUGCCCUAUCAACUUUCGAUGGUAAGGUAUUGGCUUACCAUGGUUUCAACGGGUAACGGGGAAUUAGGGUUCGAUUCCGGAGAGGGAGCCUGAGAAACGGCUACCACAUCCAAGGAAGGCAGCAGGCGCGCAAAUUACCCAAUCCCGACACGGGGAGGUAGUGACAAUAAAUACUGAUACAGGGCUCUUUUGGGUCUUGUAAUUGGAAUGAGUACAAUUUAAACCUCUUAACGAGGAACAAUUGGAGGGCAAGUCUGGUGCCAGCAGCCGCGGUAAUUCCAGCUCCAAUAGCGUAUAUUAAAGUUGUUGCAGUUAAAAAGCUCGUAGUUGAACCUUGGGUCUGGCUGGCAGGUCCGCCUCACCGCGUGUACUUGUCCGGCCGGGCCUUCCUUCUGGAGAACCUCAUGCCCUUCACUGGGCGUGUUGGGGACCAGGACUUUUACUUUGAAAAAAUUAGAGUGUUCAAAGCAGGCCUUUGCUCGAAUACGUUAGCAUGGAAUAAUAGAAUAGGACGUGCGGUCCUAUUUUGUUGGUUUCUAGGACCGCCGUAAUGAUUAAUAGGGACAGUCGGGGGCAUCAGUAUUCAAUUGUCAGAGGUGAAAUUCUUGGAUUUAUUGAAGACUAACUACUGCGAAAGCAUUUGCCAAGGAUGUUUUCAUUAAUCAGUGAACGAAAGUUAGGGGAUCGAAGACGAUCAGAUACCGUCGUAGUCUUAACCGUAAACUAUGCCGACUAGGGAUCGGGCGAUGUUCUUUUUCUGACUCGCUCGGCACCUUACGAGAAAUCAAAGUUUUUGGGU
rnacentral:rRNA from 1 species